AGUUUUGCGCAGUGGCAGUAUCGUAGCCAAUGAGGUUAAUCCGAGGCGCAAUUAUUGCUAAUUGUUAAAAUAUUUUUGCUGAUGAUACG
rnacentral:snRNA from 10 species